AGGAAAACUCUUACUGACUGGGAUGAACUUUGUCUAGAGCACGCAAACUAGCCAUUUGUUCAUCCUGCCUUAAGAGGAGAGAAAGCCCCAGGAAGUUGGAGUGAGACAGCCAUUUGGAUUUUCUGCAUCAAAAUGUCUUCAGCUGCCUUUGUUGUUUUAAAAAGGAAGAUGCAGCUCCUAUUACUAUUUCUCAGCUGCAUGUUGUCUGCUUUAGCAGCACAGCACCGCUUAGUGGAGGAUGUAUGUACUGCCAAGCCAAAGGACAUCCCUGUAAAUCCAAUUUGCAUCUACCGCAACCCUGAGAAGAAGCCCCAAGAGACUGCAGACUCUGGGCCUGUUCGGGAGAAAACCCCCAGUUUUACCAACCCGCGUGUCUGGGAGUUGUCCAAGGCCAAUUCUCGCUUUGCUGCUCUCUUCUACAAGAAUCUGACCAACUCCAAGAACGGCAAUGAGAAUAUCUUCAUGUCUCCAUUGAGCAUCUCCACAGCCUUUGCCAUGACUAAGCUGGGGGCCUGUGGCAACACCCUCCAGCAGCUAAUGACGGUUUUUCAGUUUGACACCAUUUCAGAAAAGACAUCGGAUCAGAUCCACUUCUUCUUUGCCAAACUGAACUGCCGACUUUACAAGAAAGUCAACAAAUCUUCAGAGUUGGUGUCAGCCAACCGCCUCUUUGGGGAGAAGUCCCUGGACUUCAAUGAAACCUAUCAGAAUAUUAGUGAGGUGGUUUAUGGAGCUAAACUCUGGCCGUUGAACUUCAAAGAGAAGCCAGAAUUAUCUAGGGCACUCAUUAAUGAUUGGGUGGCAAAUAAAACAGAGAAACGCAUCAUGGAUGUGAUCCCAGAAGGAGGCAUUGACGACUUCACCGUUUUAGUACUAGUCAACACUAUUUACUUUAAGGGCCACUGGAAAUCAAAGUUCCAUCUUGAAAACACGAAGGUGGAGACGUUUUUCAGAGAUGCAUCUGAGCCCUGCCAGGUGCCAAUGAUGUAUCAGGAAGCCAUGUUCCGCUACGCUUCCAUCUCAAGCUCCAAAGUGCAGGUGCUGGAGUUGCCCUACAAAGGAGAUGAUAUUACUAUGGUGCUCAUCCUGCCCUUUACAAAUACACGCCUGGCGCAAGUGGAACAGGAGUUUAAUGCAGAGAAGUUGGAAGGCUGGCUUAGUUUCCUGAAAGAUGUCUCCAUCUCAGUACAUCUGCCCCGUUUUCGGAUAGAAGACAGCUUCAGCCUGAAGGAGAAGCUGCAACAAAUGGGAUUGACAGACAUCUUCAGCCCUGAACAUGCUAGCUUGCCAGGUAUAGUUGUAGAUGCCUGGAGAGAUCUUUAUGUAUCAGAAGCUUUCCACAAAGCCUCCCUAGAGGUGAAUGAAGAAGGCAGCGAGGCAGCCGCUGUCACAGCAGUCUUGAUCACGGGUCGUUCAUUUCCUUUGAACAAACUUGUCUUCAAUGCUAACAGACCCUUCUUGGUGCUCAUACGGGAAGUUGCCAUCAAUUCCAUCCUCUUCAUGGGCAGAGUAGCCGAUCCCUGCUCCUAACACUUAAGUUGUUUUCUAAUGGUCCUUGUCCUGUUUCUAAACAGCUAAUAAAAAGGUCUCCAAGUGGCUCAGAGAAUCCUCCCUAUCAACAAUGCUGCAUGAUAAAGAAGAUAAUCUAAAACUCACAUUCUACAGCUUAAAGCCCAACAUCUAUUUUGGUAUGGAUUUUUCUGAGAAUUUCUGGACUAAUUUUUCUGUGACCUACAAUUUAUAACCAUGUAAUCUGCAAAUGUAAACCUAGCGUGAGUAUACUGAACUUGGAAGCACUGGCUUGGACACUGUUGGGCAUGAGAAGAACCUCCUAGGACCGUGGUUCCCAAACUGUUUUCCCCAUGGACCAUUUAAAAAUGGCUGAGGUUCUUGGCAGACCACUGAAUGAUUUUUCUGCCUGUUGUGGCAAUUGUAACUCCAUAGAAUUUAAAAUACAAUAUAAAAAAAAUAAAAGUAGUAAUAAAAAUAGAAUUAAAAAUCAAUGUGAAUAUUCAGUACAAUGGAUUUACUAUCUCCCAUCUUCAACCACAAAUACACAAACAUGCUGCAGACCACCUGAAUGAAGUUUGUUGACCACAGUAUGGGAACCCCUAUCCUAGGAGAAUUGACAACCAACAGAAAAAAAAUAUGAAAAACCAUCCUGAAAUAGUCACCUUUUGGAUUAACUUCAAAUUGAAAACAGUACUGAGAGAGAGAGAGAGAGAGAGAUCUGAGCUCUUUGGUGGAAUAUACAUACAAACAUCAUGAAAUUCCAAUUUACAUUUGUAAAUUGAAUACAACAAUCUGAAGUUUGUGCUUCAGAUCAGGUUGCACCCUAGGUGGUAAAGAGCAUGACAGCAAAGCCAGCAGCUGGAAAACAGGAUCUUAGUUAUGCAUAGAGCAAGUAAUAGCACCAGAGCAAGUAGUACAGAAAUCUCUGCUAAGGUUUAGAGUCAGGAUGCUGAGCAGACCUUCACUGCAAACAUUCAGUGGUUACUAGAGCAAUAACAUGAUGUCCAAAGUUCUUUACCUCCUAAGUGCAAAAUGAGACAUCAUCAAAACCUGAAGUUGCCAUCCAAGCCGGUGCCUCCCCUGCUCUCCCAUUUGGUUCAUAACCACACAUUCUCUUUCUCAAAAACAUCAGGGGAGACUUUGUAUUGUUGCAGUUUGUUGUUUCUUUUUCCUGCAAAGAGCAAAAAAUGUUCUAACUCUCUCUCUAAAUGAUGAGCUCUCUGAGACAAACAAUACUGAAAAUAAACAAUAAUUUAUAUCAUAAUCUAAA